rnacentral:rRNA from 1 species
GACGAACGCUGGCGGCGCGCUUAACACAUGCAAGUCGAACGGAAAGGCCUGCUUUCCCUUGUGGAUUGCGGGUACUCGAGUGGCGAACGGGUGAGUAACACGUGAGUGAUCUGCCCCCAACUUGGGUAUAAGCCUGGGAAACUGGGUCUAAUUCCCGAUAGGACUGCAGGGUGGUGCCUGUGGUGGAAAACGAUUUUCUAGUGGUUGGGGAUGAGCUCGCGGCCUAUCAGCUUGUUGGUGGGGUAAUGGCCUACCAAGGCGGCGACGGGUAGCCGGCCUGGGAGGGUGGACGGCGACAUUGGGACUGAGAUACGGCCCAGACGCCUACGGGAGGCAGCAGUGGGGAAUAUUGCACAAGGGGCGGAAGCCUGAUGCAGCGACGCCGCGUGGGGGAUGACGGCCUUCGGGUUGUAAACUCCUUUCGACCGCGAGGAAGCCACCUGGUUGGAAGGGUGGUGACGGUAGUGGUAGAAGAAGCACCGGCUAACUACGUG